CGACCCGGCGUGCUUAGACGUAUAAGGCUUCAAAGAAACGGGAGAAAAAACCAACCCACCCCACCCCACCGUCUUCAGUCCCUCGGUCGGGUGAAUCGCGCCAACUGGACUGGAUUUCGGGCCGGUUGCCGGGCAUAUGCUCGGCCCGACAACAGCAGACAUGAGACGGCCCCCGGCGGGACUGGCAUCCCGGCGAGGGCCUGACCAAGCAGGAAGAAAGCCCUUCCUU
rnacentral:ncRNA from 1 species